AUGGCUCCAAUGGAGGUGGAGGCGAUGGAGGAGCCGGAGCCGGAGCUGCUCGAGCAGGAGCUGUCGGGCUUCAAUGUGGAGCAGGCGCAGGCGAAGUUCGCCAUCGUCCAAUUGCAGGACAUGGCGGAGCAGAAGGCCAUCCUGGAGUCCAUCCAGGAUGAGGCCUAUGUGGAGUCCAACCAGGCGUUCCUCCGGCAGGAACACUCCAGCCUUAGAGUGACUGUUGAGAGGGCCUUUGGAGCUCUGAAGAACAGGUUUAAGAUCCUGGAUCGGAAGCCAUUCAACCCUUACCCUACCCAGGUGAAGCUUGUUCUUGCAUGUUGUAUCAUUCACAACUACAUCCUACAAUGGGGAGUUGAUGAAUUUGUGCCAGAGGAGGAAGAUGUGACUCCUGAUGAGGUGAUCAGCUCCGGCCAUGGUGUGGAGGCAUUCGACAAUGAAGCAUGGAAGAACAAAAGGUUGGAGUGGGCUCAGACAAUGUGGGAUAACAGAGGUCAGGCAAGGAUCUGA
rnacentral:rRNA from 1 species